GUCCUGGUUGUAAACUAUGUCCGCUAGCUCUUUCCGCAAGGAUGGGGUGUAAGCUAACGCGUUAAGCGGACCGCCUGGGGAGUACGGCCGCAAGGCUAAAACUCAAAGGAAUUGACGGGGACCCGCACAACCGGUGGAGCGUGUGGUUCAAUUCGAGACAAAACGAAGGACCUCACCAGGGUUUGACAUGAUACCGUUUUAGUCCUGCAGAAAUGCGGGAUGAUCCGCAAGGAUGGUACCACAGGUGCUGCAUGGCUGUCGU
rnacentral:rRNA from 1 species